rnacentral:rRNA from 1 species
UACAGAGGGUGCGAGCGUUAAUCGGAAUUACUGGGCGUAAAGCGCGCGUAGGCGGCUUUGCAAGUCGGGUGUGAAAUCCCCAGGCUUAACCUGGGAACUGCAUUCGAGACUGCAUUGCUAGAGUAUGGGAGAGGGAAGUGGAAUUCCCGGUGUAGUGGUGAAAUGCGUAGAUAUCGGGAGGAAUACCAGUGGCGAAGGCGGCUGCCUGGCCUGUUCUUGACGCUGAGGCGCGAAAGCUGGGGGAGCAAACGGG